CUGACCUGGCCUGCAUUUAUAGCCUCAGGGUCUCACUCCUGCUGCCUCAAGGACGAUGAAGAAGAUGACCAUGGGUGGAAAUUCAGCAGUCUGACUCAAACUGCUGGCUGGCCCUGCAGAAGCCUGGAACUGAGCAGCUCCCAUACCUACAAGGAAUUCUACGGCAUAAAAGAAAUGAUUGAGAAAUGGCUAUGGACAGUCCAGCAGGGAGUCAACUAAACACUGCAAAAGCAAACAUCACCAGAAUUAAGCUGAAGAAUUCUAGACUUCCAACCAGCUACCUAGCAGCACUCACUCCUUAUGAAUGCAAUGUUAUAUCCAUGCUAUUGGGAAGGUAGUUAACUUUGAAAUGCUUUCUUACUCAAAGACCAAGCAUAGGCUUGGUGUAAUUCCUGUUUCUACAAAAUUUAAGAGCUUUCUAUUUCAAAUAGCAAAUGACUUGUUUUCACUCAACAUGACAUUCUUUCAAAAGAAUGCCUAUUGGUAUCUACAAAAAGCUCAAGUUGAGCUCUGUUAAUUGCAUCUACACCUGACUUCCUUGCAUGGAAAAUGCGAACUUACAAAAUGGUUUGCAAGAACUGGCAAUAUAAAAUGGAAACUAGGGUAGUUGCAUGUCAAAAUAAAAUAGCUUUUGCUGCUUUUAUAAAAACUGUGUAACCAUUAAGCUUGAUACUGUGAAGCAUUACUUUCCUGUUUAGAUUUACUUAAAUCAAGAUGAAUAAAUAUAAAAAUCUUUUUCUAGAAAAAUAAACUCUUAAUUCAAUACCUGUCAAAUGAAAAAUUGUUAGAAUUAGCAAUUAGAGAAACAGUGAAAUAAUUCUACAUGGUUACAAUGUAGAAAGGUAUAUAGCUAAGUCAAUGCAAGAAAUUCAAAAUAACAGAACAUCUGCAUUCUUUUUGCAGAUCAGCUUGCAUUUUCCCACUACAAUUGCUUUCCCAGUGAACAAUUUUAGGGGUAAAAGCUUAUCCUUCCCAUAUUAGGGAGGAAAAAUAACAAGAUCAGCAAAAUGCAGCUUCAAUCAAUAGUGAUUUAGGAGUGCAACAGUUCUUGCAAAUUUUAUGUAAUUAGCUUACCCCCAAACCAAUAUUUUCCAUUAAAGCCUUACUUUGGAAUUGUAACUUCACUCACAGAUCAGUAUUUUCUUUCCAGAACUAGAAGCAUCACAGCAUUGAUCAGAAUUCAGGAAAGACAUAAGCAAUUGCAUAUGCAGCAGUUUAAUAACCAAGAGUUACUAGGUUAUAUUUUAAUUUUGUAACUAAUUUGAAAGUUAAUAGCAUUUAAUAGCAUUCACAGGGGAAGCUGAAGUACCUGCUGUAUUUUAGAAACUUUUUAUUUUGAGUAACGCAUUAAUAACUUCGAACUUUACAAUCAAAUUAAGAGACUAGAAGGGAACAGGAUGUGUGAUUAAAUGUUCAAGAAUGCAGAAGCUAUACAUCAGGUAUCAUUACAGCAACUGCUACUGACACUGUCCUGGACCCACUGGAGAACAUCCUGUACACCUACAGCACAAAGGAAUGGUCUCUGCCAAAGAGCUUGUAAUGUAACAAGAAAGAACAGACAACUCCAAGCCAGUCUUCAAAUCAUCUUCAAAAAGGUAAAGAGAAUCUGCAAAACUACAGGCAAAAGCCUUAUCUCCAUUCUGGGGAAAAUUAUGGAGCAAGUCCUUAAGGAUGGAACACUGAGGACAGGAGUAUGAUAAGGCAGACAGCGCAGCUAAAACAAGCGGUCUGUCAAACCAACUGCCUUCUGUGAUGAAAUGGCUAAUUCUGUGGAUGUGGGGACAGCAGUAGAUGUUGUUCACCUUCAUUUUUAGCAAUCUUACAGUAUCCUUGCAGACAAAUCAAAAGACUUGGCUAGACAGGUAGACUAUGAAGUGGAUGAAACUGGCUGAAUUGUUGGUCUUGCAGCAUAAUGGUCUGAGUUAAACUUUGACUGAUGGAUUGUUUUAAGUGGUGCUUCUCAGGACUGACAGUGGGGCCAAUACUGUUUAACACCUUUCUUAACAAGGUUAAGGUGACAGAACAUGCCCUCAGAAGUCUGCAGGCAAUACUGAUUUGAGGUAGUGGUUGAAACUUGUGUGGUGGGGCUGCUGUUCAGAAGGAUCUC